AUUGAACGCUGGCGGCGUGGCUAAGGCAUGCAAGUCGAACGGAUCUAUCCAACGGGUAACUGAAGGGUAGAUUAGUGGCGAACGGGUGAGGAAUACAUGGACAACGUACCCUGGACACGGGGAUAGCGGCGGGCCGCAAGGCUCUUUAGCGAAAGUGCCGGUAAUACCCGAUGAUCCCGCAUGGUCGCAUGAUCGUGUGGGCAAAGCUCCGACGGUCUGGGAUCGGUCAUGCCCUAUCAGCUAGUUGGUGAGGUAACGGCUCACCAAGGCGGCGACGGGUACCGGGCGUGAGAGCGUGACCCGGCACAUCGGAACUGAGAUACGGUCCGGACACCUACGGGUGGCUGCAGCAACGAAUA
rnacentral:rRNA from 1 species